rnacentral:rRNA from 1 species
AUACGUAGGGGGCGAGCGUUGUCCGGAAUGAUUGGGCGUAAAGGGCGCGUAGGCGGCCCGGUAAGUCUGGAGUGAAAGUCCUGCUUUUAAGGUGGGAAUUGCUUUGGAUACUGUCGGGCUUGAGUGCAGGAGAGGUAAGUGGAAUUCCCAGUGUAGCGGUGAAAUGCGUAGAGAUUGGGAGGAACACCAGUGGCGAAGGCGACUUACUGGACUGUAACUGACGCUGAGGCGCGAAAGUGUGGGGAGCAAACAGGAUUAGAUACCCUGGUAGUCCACACUGUAAACGAUGAAUACUAGGUGUUGGGAGACAAUAGUUUCUCGGUGCCGCAGCAAACGCAAUAAGUAUUCCACCUGGGGAGUACGUUCGCAAGAAUGAAACUUAAAGGAAUUGACGGGG